GUGGGAUACUACCCUAGCUGUGUUGGCUUUCUAACCCGCACCACUUAUCGUGGUGGGAGACAGUGUCAGGCGGGCAGUUUGACUGGGGCGGUCGCCUCCUAAAAGGGAACGGAGGCGCUCAAAGGUUUCCUCAGAAUGGUUGGAAAUCAUUCAUAGAGUGUAAAGGCAUAAGGGAGCUUGACUGCGAGACCUACAAGUCGAGCAGGGUCGAAAGACGGACUUAGUGAUCCGGUG
rnacentral:rRNA from 1 species